rnacentral:rRNA from 1 species
AAUGGACGCAAGUCUGACCCAGCCAUGCCGCGUGCAGGAUGACGGCCCUAUGGGUUGUAAACUGCUUUUGUACGGGAAAAAACCCCUGGUUGCGACCAGGGCUGAUGGUACCGUAAGAAUAAGCAUCGGCUAACUCCGUGCCAGCAGCCGCGGUAAUACGGAGGAUGCAAGCGUUAUCCGGAUUCAUUGGGUUUAAAGGGUCCGCAGGCGGGACAAUAAGUCAGAGGUGAAAUCCUACGGCUCAACUGUAGAACUGCCUUUGAUACUGUUGUCCUAGAGUGUAGUUGAGGUGGGCGGAAUAUGUCAUGUAGCGGUGAAAUGCUUAGAUAUGACAUAGAACACCGAUCGCGAAGGCAGCUCACCAAGCUACUACUGACGCUCAGGGACGAAAGCGUGGGGAUCAAA